GGGGCGGGGGGGAAGCGGCGCGUGCGGGGAGCGCCCGGGCAGCGCUCCCGGCAUCCAUCCCCCUGUUAUCCGCCGCGUCCCCCCGUCCUUCGGGCCGGCCCCGCCGCGAUGUUCUCCAGGAAGAGCCACGCCGACGUCAGGAAAUCCACGCAGAAGGCGCUGGACCCGAAGCGGGACGUGCUGACCCGGCUGAAGCAUCUCCGCGCGCUGCUGGAUAUUGUGGAUGGAAGUGACCUGAAGCAAUUUUUUGAUAAUAAUUAUUCUCAAAUUUAUUUUAUAUUCUAUGAAAACUUCAUAACACUGGAAAAUAACUUGAAACAAAAAGGGAAUAAAUCACAAAGGGAGGAGCUGGACUCCAUCCUCUUUCUUUUUGAAAAAAUAUUGCAGCUACUGCCUGAGAGGAUUUUUUAUCGAUGGCAUUUUCGCAGUAUAGGGUCGAUUCUGAAGAAACUUUUGCACACUGGAAAUUCUCUCAAGAUAAGAUGUGAAGGAAUCCGGCUGUUCCUGCUCUGGCUCCAAGCCCUGCAGACGAACUGUGGGGAGGAGCAGAUCCUGCUGUUCGCCUGCCUCGUGCCCGGCUUCCCGCCCCUGGCGUCCUCACGGGGCCCCUGCACCCUGGAGAGCCUCAUCAGCCCGCCCUGCCCGCCCGACGCUAAGAUUUUUCCAGAGGAAAUAACCCCGCUUUUGCCAGCUGUCUCUGGAGAGAAAAUUGCUGAAGACCAAACCUGCUAUUUUCUUCAGCUCCUGUUAAAAUACAUGGUAAUUCAGGCUGCAAGCUUGGAGUGGAAAAACAAGGAGAACCAAGACACUGGGUUUAAGUUUCUCUUCACCUUGUUUAGAAAAUACUAUCUUCCUCACUUGUUUCCAUCUUUUACAAAGCUAACCAACCUCUACAAACCUGUGCUUGAUAUUCCUGAUAUCAGGCCAAGGCCAGUGUAUGUCACUGCAACACGAAACAAUGAGAGUGUCUAUAGCACGAAAAUCCCGUAUAUGGCAGCUCGAGUUGUUUUUAUUAAGUGGCUUGUUACCUUCUUCCUUGAAAAGAAAUACUUAACUGCUGUUCAGAACACAAAAAAUGGAGGAGAAGUGCUCCCUAAAAUUAUUCAGACGGUGGGGGCGAGCCAGGACAAGGCAGCAGAGCUGGAGGGCAGCACGUCGCAGGAGCAGGACGGGAACCACUCCAACAGCAGCACCCUGUCUGACAGGAGGCUCAGCAACUCCAGCCUGUGCAGCAUCGACGAGCAGCACCGCGGCGUCUACGACAUGGUGCAGAGGAUCCUGCUUUCCACCCGCGGCUACGUCAACUUCGUCAACGAGGUCUUCCGACAGGCUUUUUUGUUGCCACCUUCUGAUGUAUCCGCAACACGGAAAGUGGUGAAGGUGUAUCAGAAGUGGAUACUGCAAGAGAAGCCCGUGUUCAUGGAGGAGCCAGACAAAAAGGAGGACAGCCAGGAUGCUGUUGUCCACCUGGAAGACUCCUCAGUGCAAACAGACGGUAAACAUCUUUCCUCGGAGCACUCGGGGCACAAGCGCUCCUCCAGCUGGGGCAGGACGUACUCCUUCACCAGCGCUGUGAGCAGGGGAUGUGUGCUGGAAGAUGAGGACAGAGAUGUGAAAGCUGGAGCCCAGGCUGCGUUACAGGUGUUCCUGACAAACUCGGCCAAUGUUUUCCUGUUGGAGCCGUGCACGGAGGUCCCGGUGCUGCUGAAGGAGCAGGUCGAUGCUUGCAAAGCUGUUCUCAGUAUCUUCAGGCGCAUGAUAAUGGAGCUGUCAAUGAAUAAGAAGACAUGGGAACAGAUGCUACAGAUACUCCUCAGAAUAACAGAAGCUGUGAUGCAGAAGCCGAAAGAAAACCAGCCAAAGGACACAUUUGCCCAGAGCAUGGCUGGGUUGCUGUUCCGAACCCUCAUCGUGGCUUGGAUCAGAGCGAACCUGAGCGUUUACAUCUCUCGGGAGCUGUGGGAUGAGCUGCUCAGUGUCCUGUCCUCCCUGACGGACUGGGAGGAGCUCAUCAACGAGUGGGCCAACAUCAUGGACUCUCUGACAGCAGUGCUGGCCAGGACUGUGUAUGGCGUGGAAAUGACCAACCUGCCCUUGGACAAGCUCAGUGAACAGAAGGAAAAAAAGCAGAGGGGAAAAGGUGGCAUUUUAGAGCCUCAGAAGACAGCAGUAGUGGGAAGAUCUUUUUCAUUAAGCUGGAAGAGUCAUCCUGAAGUCGUGGAGCCGAUGAGAUUCAGAAGCGCUACAACCUCUGGGGCCCCUGGAGUUGAGAAAGCCCGAAAUAUUGUUCGUCAGAGAGCGACAGCUAAGCGAAGCCAGUCUAUCAGCAACUGUGUCCAUCUUUAUGAGGCUUUGCCAGCUACUAAAAGUGUACCUCUUCUGCUUCACACUGUGAGCUCUCUCUUCCCUGGUCUCUCUUACACUUCUUGCUCUCACAGACUGUCAGAAGUUGAAGAAUCUCAACAGCUGGAAAAUUCAGAAGGAUCAGAAGCUGUGGGCCCGUUUGCAGACCAAGAGCAGCAGCUGACUCGAAGUAGCAGCACUUCAGAUAUUGCAGAUCAGAUUCCAUCUGAUUUUUUUCAAGGUAAAAAGGCUGGAGGUUCUCAUAAUUCAACUUCAGACUCCAAAUCAGUUCAGGAAAACAAGGGACAUGCAAAGAAGGAGGAUGAAGCUGAGCAAGUGCUGAUCCGAAGGAGCAGUAGUACAGCUGAAUUAGAUCUGAAAGCAGACUUUCAGCCACCCCAGGGGAGUUACAGAGAGAGAGAAAAAAGUGAGAGCGUGAGCAGCGACGCGUCCCUGGGCUGCGGGGCCGACGUGGACAUCGCGCUGCUGCCCUGGCAGGCGGCCGAGGACGAUCCCGACCCCGGAGCCGUGUGUGUGGAUCCCACUGCCCCGCGCUGGCUGCAGCUCAGCCCCUCGGAGCCUGCCAACCUCACAGACAGUAGUGAAUUCCUUGCUGAUGACUGCAGUAUAAUUGCUGGUGGAAGCCUUAUUGGUUGGCAUCCUGAUUCUGCCGCUGUGUUAUGGAGGAGGAUCUUGGGAAUUCUUGGAGAUGUGAACAAGAUACAGUCACCUAAAAUCCAUGCAAAAGUUUUUGGAUACCUUUACGAGCUGUGGUAUAAACUUGCAAAGAUAAGGGACAACCUCGCUAUCAGUGUGGACAAUCAGUCAACUCCCUCUCCUCCCAUCCUAAUCCCUCCUCUCAGGAUAUUUGCAUCGUGGCUGUUCAAGGCAGCCACGCUGCCCAGCGAGUACAAGGAGGGCAAGCUGCAGGCGUUCCGGCUGCUCUGUGCCAUGAUGACCCGGCGCCAGGACGUGCUGCCCAACUCCGACUUCCUCGUCCACUUCUACUUCGUGAUGCGCCUCGGCUUGACCAGUGAGGACCAGGAUAUCCUGAACACCGUCAUAAAGCACUGCCCACCCUGGUUUUUCUUCCUGGGCCUGCCUGGGUUCACGAUGCUGAUCGGGGACUUUGUGGCGGCGGCGGCGCGGGUGCUGCGCGCGGACACACUGGAGGCUCCCCGUUCUGAAGCUCACACCAUCCUUGGUGCUCUCGUGUGCUUUCCAAAUACCUACCAAGAAAUCCCAUGCUUGGGGCCCAUUUCAGAAGCCAGUGAGAUCAGCACAGGAACUGCAGAUGUGAAGUAUUGCCUCAUAAAUAUUUUAUUGAAGAAUGCUACAGAGGAGCCAAGUGAAGCUGCAAGGUGCAUAGCCAUCUGUGGCCUGGGAGUGUGGAUCUGUGAGGAGCUCACACAGUGCACAAACCAUCCCCACGUGAAGAAGGCCAUCAAUGUCAUAGGUGUGACACUGAAGUUUUCCAAUAAGCUGGUAGCUCAGGUAGCCUGUGAUGUUCUUCAGCUGCUCGUGUCUUACUGGCAAAAGCUUCAGGAGUAUGAAUCCUUCCUGUGCCGGAAAAUCACUGAAAUCCUCGUGGCCACCAUUGCAUUCCUUUUGCCGAGUGCCGAGUACUCCUCCGUGGAGGCGGAUAAGAAGUUCAUAGUUUCCCUGCUGCUCUGCCUGCUGGAUUGGUGCAUGGCACUGCCCAUGAAAAUGCUGCUGGAGCCCGCGUCUGCUGGUGCCGUGGAAGAUCAACACACAUCCAGAGCUCCUUUACUGGACUACAUUUACAGAGUCCUGCACUGCUGUGUGAACGGCUCCAGCACGUACACGCAGCAAAGCCACUACGUGCUGAGCCUGGCCGACCUCUCCUCCUAUGAUUACGACCCCUUUUUGCCACUGGGGAACGUCAGGAGCUCGGAGCCAGCCCAGUGCCACUCCUCCACGGAUUUGGGCAACCUGCUCACUGUUGCUGAGGAGAAAAGGAGGAGGAAUUUGGAAUUGAUACCUCUGACGGCGCGGAUGGUGAUGACUCACCUGGUGAAUCACCUGAGCCACUACCCGCUCAGCGGAGGCCCUGCCAUUCUCCACAGCCUCCUCAGUGAGAACCACGACAACUCCUUCGUGGAGUCCUCUGAGCUGUCCUCGGAAGUCUUCCGGAGUCCCAACCUGCAGCUCUUUGUGUUCAAUGACAGCACUCUCAUAUCUUACCUCCAAAUCCCUGCAGAGAAGAGGGCGGGUGCUGAGCCGGCAGCAGCCCCCUCGGACGUCAGGGUGAUCGUCAGGGAUAUCUCAGGGAAGUACUCUUGGGACGGCCGGAUACUGUACGGCCCUUUGGAGGGCUGCCUGCCACAGCGGAGCCCCACCAACACCUUUGUGAUCUCCAGCAACCCCGAGCACCACUUCACUUCCCAGAACGACGCUUCCCAGGCAGAGGAAGGAGAAGAUGCUCUCGACCAGUUGCUGGAGAAGAUCGGUGCCACCAGCCCCGAGUGCCUUCUGCAUCCCCAGCGCAAGCUGAACGAGCCGGCGCCGCCGCCCUGCGGGAUGAGCUGCGAGCAGGAGCGGGCCAUCAUGGAGGCCCUGAUGAGGCAGAGCGCCCAGGAAAGGGAGUUCAUCCUGAAAUGCAGCUCGGACUGCAGCAUGAAGGUGGCCCGCCAGGAACCACCACGCCCUGCUGAGCCUCAGGCCUCCUUUUAUUUCUGUCGGCUGUUGCUGAACGACUUGGGAAUGAACUCCUGGGACAGAAGGAAAAGCUUUCACUUGCUUAAGAAAAAUUCAAAAUUGCUGCGAGAACUGAAAAAUCUGGAUUCUCGCCAAUGCCGUGAGACUCACAAGAUCGCCGUGUUCUACAUCGCCGAGGGGCAGGAGGACAAGUGCUCCAUCCUGGCCAACGCCAGGGGAAGCCAGGCAUAUGAGGAUUUUGUAGCAGGACUGGGCUGGGAGGUGGAUCUUUCCACGCACGGGGGUUUUAUGGGUGGCCUGCAGCGCAACGGCAGCACGGGCCAGACCGCUCCCUACUACGCUACCUCCACCGUGGAGAUCAUCUUCCACGUGUCCACACGCAUGCCCUCGGACUCGGACGAUUUGCUGACCAAAAAGCUUCGUCACUUGGGAAAUGAUGAGGUUCACAUCGUCUGGUCCGAGCACACCCGCAACUACCGCAGGGGCAUCAUACCCACGGACUUCGGGGAUGUUCUCAUUGUCAUCUACCCCAUGAAGAAUCACAUGUUUUUCAUAGAGAUCAUGAAGAAACCAGAGGUGCCGUUUUUCGGGCCUCUCUUCGAUGGAGCGAUCGUGACCGCGAAGCUGCUGCCAAGCCUGAUCUGUGCCACCUGCAUCAACGCCAGCAGAGCCGUCAAGUCCCUCAUCCCGCUCUACCAGAGCUUCUACGAGGAGAGAGCUCUGUACCUCGAAGCCAUCAUCCAGAACCACAAAGAGGUGAUGACGUUCGAGGAUUUUGCCGCUCAGGUCUUUUCUCCCUCUCCCAGCUACUCCCUCGGUGGAACUGGUGAGUCUCUGCACGUUAUUCUUCUCUGUAGCCCCAAGAAGCACUUGAGCAGCAGAUGUACACCUGUUUUUUGUAGAUAAAUGCUUGCAAAUUUAAGAAGACCAUUCUUCCCCUGAAUCAACUAAUGAAUAUCAAAAGGAAUGAUGACAUUCAUUUUAAUUUGUUUUGCAUCAGAGCUAUUCAGUCUGCUCCUUUCUUCAGCUAUCCUGUUAACCCCCGACUCUGGCGAGGUUAAUGAACUUUCUUGCAGUGAUGGGCUCCAGCUCAUUCAGGACUCCGGGUUCUUGCUGAGCUGGGAAUAUGUUGUUCAAAAGCGAGGCCUGAAUUGGGGCUCACUUAUCAAAAAUAGUUCCUCGCAGGGGAAGCUGCUGCUAAUGCUAAAUGGGGAUUAUGCUGCUGAGCUACCAGGGUCAGGGAUUAAUGCCCAAGAAACGCAGGAACGGGGUGCUGUUAGGGAAUCACAGCGGCGGGCGGGAUGCGGGCGCGUCCCUUCAAUGCAGACAAGCACACUGCAGGCUGCCCUCCAGCACCUGGCCUGGAGCCUCUUUGGGGGCUUUAAUGGAUGUGUGGAUAUAUGUGGGGGGGGUGGUGUGUGUAUACACGCACAUCAAUGCUCAUCAUUCAUCAGCCCUCCUGAGAGGUGACAACGCAGUGCCAAACUCUGGGCAUUUAUUCCUCGUGUGCCCUGUGGAGAUUUAGGUUAGUGUGUGGUCAGUGAGGUACCAAUCGCUGCCUGGCUGGUUCCAUUGAGUUUAAGUGAACCUCUUCUGAAAGGGAUCUUUUGCUCUGAAAUGCAGAUUUCUAGUGCCCUCAAGAUGUGUUUUUUCCAGCCUCCAGAAAGUAUCUGUCACCGUGUGCUGGACUCUCUAACAAAGAUUCCUUAAUCCAUUGUUGACACUCAUAGGGUGACACAGGCACUUUCUAAUCAUUCUCUGCUUCUCUUUUGGAUUGCUGAAUAGAUUAUUUCCAACUUGUACAAACGUUGCAGGACAUCUGCUCUAUUUCUCUUUAGCCCGACUUGUUAGCAGAUAUCUUCCAUCUAAACUGAAACAUUGAAGGAAGAAAUUAAAUUUGCUAGAAUAAAUCACUUAGGAAUAAAACCAGCCGUGCAGCAUUGUCUAGCGUUCCUGGCUCCGGUCCUGGCGCGCUCGGAGCUUUGUGAGGAGAUAAGAGGCCUGUGCGGGCCGGGCAGUGGUGGCCAGGAGCAGCAGGCAGAAGGCUUUGGAGAUAAGCGCUGGCAGGAGGGGAGGGAGCCGGGGCCAUUUACAUAAUCGCGCCUCUGCGUCCUGGAGAGGCGUCAGGGAACACGGGAUGGAUCUAUUGAUCUCUGCUGAACUGGAAUACUAAACAACGCGAGGAAAGCUUAUAACUUAAAGCUUUGAUUAAUGUUUCCUACAUUAAAAAGUAGAACAGCUGUGCAUUAAAUUCUUUUAUACACUCUGCCAAAAGUCUGAGACAAAAAAAUCGCCCGUUUCAAUAGGAGCGCAGCGCGUGCCCAGGGUUGGUUGUUAGCACUUGAAUCGUUUAUCUGUUGACAUAUCAGCAAAUAGAAACGUAGAUAUAUUGAUCUGUUUUAAAUGUUUUGCUCUGUGCAUAAUUGUGUCUCAUUUUGGUGUUUUUAGAGCAUGCAGUGCUCUGGUUGUGUACAAAUGUGGUCUGACGGGGCAGAUCCCUCGGCAGUGCCGCUCUCUGAAGGCUGGGAUAUGCUGUGUGUGCCAGACCUGGUUAAAGUGUUUCCCAAUUGCUGAGGUUUUCAGAACACUGUUAAAUUAUGAGUACCCUGGAUGUGGUUUUAUAAUUUCAUUAUUUUAAUUGCUUUUAAUUGUAAAACCUGCCCCGGUCAGGUCCCUGUUUUUGGACUUCAGAGCCUUGGAAUUAAUUUCUCGCUCAUGAACUGGAGGCUGGCCAUGACUUCUGGUGUCAGAAUCUCUGCUUCAGAGAGUCUCCUCACGUUACCUACUGAUUCACCUGCAUAUUUAGUCAGUGAUGAGCAAGGGCAGUGUCAGCCAUGGCCAUCGGGAUGUGUUUUCCAUCAGAUGCUCCCUGGCAGUUGGAAGGGAGGCUGGAUGCAGCCCUGGCAGCUCAGGAGCUGUUUCCCAGCAUGCAGCCUGUGCCACAGGCAGGCAGUCCUGCUCCAGGCAUAGACCCACCCGUUUAACGCCUGCAGGAAUCACCUGUGUGCUGCUUAGGAACACGGUUGGCAUUUUUUUCCAUGUAAAAAGGGAACUUCUAUUCUGAAAUCAGGGAGCAAUAAAUGAAAAAAAAAAUUUCCCUGAGAAGGUAGUCAGGCACUGGCACAGGCUGCUAGGAAGGUGCUGGAGUCACUGCCUCUGAAAGUGUUCAGAACGUGUCUGAAUGUGGCUCUUGGGGAUGUGGUUUAGGGGUGAUGAUGGUGGUGCUGGGUUGGUGGCUGGAUUUGAUGAUCUUGAAGAUCUCUCCCAGCCUUGAUGAUUCUGUGGGAUUCAUGGAGCUGGCACAGGUGACGAGCCAGCUGGUGCUGCUGACUCUGCCGAGCGUAAAUUCCUCAGGUAAAUUUAAGAUUAAUUCUCAUCUGAUCUGAUUCUUAAUGCCACUCAGGUGUGGUCCUGUCAGCGCUGGAAUACACGCGUGCAGCAGAAAGGUCAAGGAGUAAGUGUGCUUUUUAUUAAAAUGAAGCUUGUUCUCAGUAGUCAUAAGAAGAAAUCAGGCCCAUUAAAUGAAUUGAACACGUAGCUCUCGCUGACACACAUCACUGGGGUGUUGCUAACCAUGAUCUAAUGAUUUGAACUGCAUGGUUUUGCAUUUUCUGAUGCUGCCCCGGGGGAUGCAUCCCCCAGGCUCAGGUCGGAUGUGGGUUUCCUGCCCUGGGUUAGUGUCUCUGUCACCAACAGUCUUGCAGGUGCUGCAUUUUCUGCACGAAAAUCAGAAAAUCACCCAGUUGAUCUCCUUUGCUGUUUCCAGGCUCGGAGCCUUAAACUCCCUGCACGGCUCACAGAUAGCCCUGGCUAUCUUCAGCAGCCGGGUAGGCAGAAUGGCCAUCCCUGAACUCAUUUAGGGGAUGUGCAGAUUAGGAACAAAAGCUGGGAAUACGGCCCUUUGUUGUUAAACUGGUGCAUUACAUGCUGUAUUUUAAUUAGGCUGGGUCUGAGAGGCAGCCCAGGAAAUCCUCCAUAAUCCAACACUAUUGAAUUAUUCUCAUCCUUUCCCUCUGCAGAUUUCUCUCCUUUUAGAGGACGGGCUUUAAGCUGCUGUUCUUGCUCCCUCAGCCAAAACCAGAAACAGUUAUUCAACAAAAUACUUGCGUGUUCUUUAAAAAAAUGGUGAGGCUGAAGCGGGCACACACAGACAGAGCAGCGCCCCAACUUUGCCUCUGUGGCUCAAAGGGCUGCCUUGGGCUUGGGGGUUUUUUGGUGUAAGAUCAGCAACUAGAAGCGUGGUGUUAUCCCUUAGGAAGUGGAAGUGGCCAGGUAUUCCAGGGCAACUGUCUGAUCAUAGCUUGCCCACCAUGGGAGGAUUCUGUGCGAGGGGUUUGUACAGGGCAGGUUUCUGUUGGAAGGGAACCCCUGAGCUGCAGCGCUGCCGUUGGCACUCCAGGGGUUAAUGGGAACGGGCACACUUGACUGCUGAGAGGACUGAUCUAAUCACUGCCAUAUCCAAGUGCAUCUGUUCACCAUGAGGUCAUUCUUGUGCAUGCUAAUGACUUGGAAAAUAAAGCACAAUGCUCAACGUUAUCAGGGAGGAUAUAGUGUAAAUCUUGGCUUUUUUAGUUGCUAAUGGAUAUUGUGGAAUGGGCAGGCAAAGCAUCCCGGAUUCUUGUGUUCCAGCUUAAUGUUUUUAAAGCAUCCUUUUCAGUGGAGUGUCAGGAAAACUGUGCUGGAAAACUCAGACAUGUGGUAUCUGUUGAUAAAUGGAUUCUUUAAUGAAUAUUAUGGCAUUGCCCAGGAGCAACACUUGAGUUGAGGAACUAUAGAGGUUUUCAGCAUUCCCUGGUUUUAAAGCCUCGGGAGCCUGCCUGCUGAUUUACAUAAAACCGAGAUUUUGCAGGCUUUUUGUUGUAAAGGUGACACAUGCUUUUCUUUUGUCUCCAGACUUUUACAUGCAUAAAGUUCCUCUGGAAAAUACUUGAAUGUACAAGGAACCAGAUCUGGUUUAUUUUAAACCACUUUUUGAUCAGUGCUGAGCUUUAUCUUUCCCACUUUAAAGUGAAAGGAAUAUUUCAAUUUGACACCUAGAUUUAAAAUGUAUUUUUGACAGAAACAAAACCAAACCCAGAGUAACUAUUGCGUUAACCAGACUGAUGCUCUUUGUAACGAUGAGACAGGAUUCCUUUUGCUUUGGUGUGGUUUUUCUGUUUUUGUUUUUUACUUCUUUAGGUUUUUUGUGCUUUUAUCUUUUUCCUUGAAAAAGGGUGUUUUCCUUGUAGGGUGUUUUGUCAGAUCUGUGUACAGGUGGAACAAAAGUCUCUCCGGGUUCUGUAUAUAUAAUAUUUCUGCCUGUUUUGGGGAAUAGUAAAAAAACACACAUCUGAAAGUGAGUAGCUGUGCCACAAUACCGCAGCACGUGCGGCAUGUGUCGUGUUUGAUCUGUGUGUCAGUGUUGCCUGAAACGGAACAAUUCAUUUCUAGUACCUGGGACUCAGGAAAUUCCUGCCUGUCCUGGCUGCUCGGAACCACGGCUCAGCUGCUGCCGCCAGGAGAGGAGGCAGCGCUGGCACUGUCUGCCAGGGGCAGCUGUGGGCUCCAUCCUCCGUGCCCAGCCCUCCCUGGUCCGGGCCGGGGGUUCCUCUGAUGUGGGAAGAAGGACAGGGAAUUGAGUGGUUAGCACGGAGCCCGUGCUCAGCAGGUGAGAUGGAACUCAGGUAGCUGUCGGUGCUGCCGUGGUGGAGGUUGUCCAGGCAGUGAACAAAGAGGAAAAGCUGAGGGAGGUGGAGUAGAGGAGCCAGAAGAGUUACCACAGGAGGCAGGAUUUGGCUUUCUCUUCUCCUCCUUCCCUGUGAGUAUGCAGGAGGAGGCACAGGGACCUGUCUGGCUUUCCCUCUCUGUUUAAUCCAGGUAGCUCCACAUCCUGAGCAGACUGGAGCCUCUGUCCCAGCUGCUGCUGGGCUGCCCUUGGGAGCAGAUUCGGGAGCUGCUUCUUGCCCCUGUGCUCUCUGUUACCAGUGUUCCCUCCGUGGCUUUCCUGCCCUCAUCCACAGAGCUGCCACCUUAGUGUCCCUGUGAGGGGCAGGCACGGUCUGCCAUUAAACAGAGCAGUGUCACAGUUACCACGAAUUGUUGGGGCAGCAGCUCUGUCCCCCCAUAGCUCCUGUGGCUGAACAGGCCUGGCUCCGGAGGCUCUGGAUCCCUGCAGAGCCCUAGGGAAGUUGCAUCCUUCCUUUGCAGCUCCCUGCAAAGCAGCGGCCGCCUGCUCUGGGUCUGUGCCCUGCACUGACGAGGGCGGGCAGCCCUGACCUGUCCCCGAGGCAGGGCAGGUGCUGGGGCUGCUUCUCCCUCAAGCCUGGCGUUCCCUCGGGAUCUCCAGCAGGGAAGGGGCACAUUAGGGCUCUCAGCCUGGGCCCCUGCCUUUUCUAUGUAAUUGACUGGCUCAGAGGGAGCUCCCCCAGCUACAAUCUCCGGGAGAGGAGGCAGAGAGAGAGGGUUUCUCCAAGCAAUCAGUGCUGGGAUGGGAGAAAAUAUGAGCUUGACAGGCCCAUCUCUCCUGCUGGGUGACAGCUCCAGCUGCUCGAGCUGUCAGCUCGGAGAAGGCUCCGGGCAAUGUGGCCCCUUUGCAUUUUCUCUCUGCACUGAGGCAUCGGCUCCGUGGCCACGGAGAGCCAGAGCAGAGCUGGAGCAGAGUGGCCGCGGGCCAGGGGCUUGGGCUGCCCCACCUGUGACACCCCCAAAACCCCCAACGCUCCCCCUGGCUGAGGUUGAGGCCAACCCGUGCAGAACUAAUUAGCGGCUGCUCCAAGUCCUGACUAAUUAAACUUCGAUGUGUACAUUUAGGGUUUAUUUCCAAAUCCCUCAAACCAUCAAGGCUGGGCCUGUGACGGUGCCAGGCACUCCCUCCUGGAAACUGUGAAUGCUAUUUUAGGGGUGGUUCUGCCCCUGAUUAACCUGUAGUUUGAGAUUCUCUUACUGCUUCAUGUAGAGCUUUCCAAGGCACUGCAGGACGUGUUUGAUUAGCACAGCCACUGCUUCAGUUAUCGAUGAUUUCUUCCACGCAGGCUCAGGAUGCUGCUUACAGUGUACUUUGAGCCUGUCCUUGGAAGUGGGAAGCAGCAACACUGGGCAGAUUUACUACAGUGAUUCUCUCUGGAAUUUUCUGACCUUCACAUUUACUAGGAAGGAAAACAAAGAUUUCCACAGCCCUGUCCUGGCUGACAGGUUAAUGGGGGGGCUGGAACAGGUCACAGCCCCUGUGACAACUUCAUGGGUCUUCUCAAAUACAAGGCUUCAGGAUCCUUACAGGUCAUGGAGACCCACCCUUGCUUUCAGGGGUGUUCAGCUACUUCAGUUGGAGAGAAAUGGCUGAAAGGUCAUUCCUAGAGCACCUGCCCUGGCAAGGCGGGGCAUGAGAAAUGAGGUUUGUUCUCUGGUGGAUUUGAGAUGCAAUAAGCCAUUUCUCUCUAGCUUCCCACAAAACAAUUUCAUUUGAAGUGUGUUUUUAUCUGUAUUCCUAACUCCAUUUCUAAUCCCCUCCUGCAAAGAACUUACUUUAAAAGCUUAAGCCUCCCUCACCAGGUCUUACCUGUAAGAGGCCCUACACUGCUCAUUUCCUGGGGUUUUAACCUGCCUGCAGUGUCCCAGUGGUUUAGGUCUCUGUGAAGCCUCAAAUCUUACACAGUUUGAAAUGGUGUGACCAGCAGCGGUGCUGGAGGUGGAGCCGAGGCAGCUGCACCCACCGUCCCAUGGCAGCUCGUUUGGCAAAAGCUGAAGUGCAAUGAUUAUUCAUUCCCAUCUUUGCCAGCAUUCCCUCCCUUGACUGUUUCAAUCCACAGACCUGAGAAGGAAGCGUGUGGGUCCCUGUUUCUCCAGGUCCCCGAGGGCUGAGGGGAACUCUCCUUCCUGAGCUGCCCUUCCUGCUGGUGCCCAGCGUGUGCCGGCGUCUGCUGUGCCAGGCUGCCGUUGGCACAGUGGGUGCCGGGUGUGCUGCUCCUGCACUGACACCGUUUUGUGUUCUCUCCCUUUAGAUUAGAGUGUGUAACGCUCUCGUUAAUGGCCGCAGGCUGCCUCACCACAAGUGCAAGCGCUGACCUCACUGUCACCAUCGGCAUCGAGCUGGCGGAGCCGCCCUCGCCCCCGCUGCCACGUGCCUCCAGGAGCAGAGUGUCGGGGA